CAGCUCUCCGAGUGGUAGGGAUGUUUAUUGGGCUUAAAGCGUCCGUAGCCGGCUUAGCAAGUCUCCUGUUAAAUUCAGCGACCUAAUCGUUGAGCCGCGGGAGAUACUACUAGGCUAGGAGGCGGGAGAGGUCGACGGUACUUCUGGGGUAGGGGUGAAAUCCUAUAAUCCCAGGAGGACCACCAGUGGCGAAGGCUGUUGACUAGAACGCGCUCGACGGUGAGGGACGAAAGCUGGGGGAGCGAACCGGAUUAGAUACCCGAGUAGUCC
rnacentral:rRNA from 1 species